CAUUUUUAAGAUAAUUAUAGUACAUUAAAGUAUUAAAGGAUUUAAUUAUCCCUUAAAAUAU
rnacentral:tRNA from 1 species